UGGAACUUCGGUUUUGAUGACGACCGGCGAACGGGUGAGUAACGCGUACACAACCUACCUUCAAGAGGAGAAUAGCCCCGGGAAACUGGGAGUAAUACUCCAUAGUAUUACUUUAUAUAUAAUAUAGUAAUUAAAGUUUAGGCGCUUGAAGAUGGGUGUGCGUCCCAUUAGCUAGUUGGUGAGGUAACGGCUCACCAAGGCGACGAUGGGUAGGGGGCGUGAGAGCGUGGUCCCCCACACGGGUACUGAGACACGGACCCG
rnacentral:rRNA from 1 species